rnacentral:rRNA from 1 species
UACGAAGGGGGCUAGCGUUGCUCGGAAUUACUGGGCGUAAAGGGCGCGUAGGCGGACAGUUUAGUCAGAGGUGAAAGCCCAGGGCUCAACCUUGGAAUUGCCUUUGAUACUGGCUGUCUUGAGUUCGGGAGAGGUGAGUGGAAUGCCGAGUGUAGAGGUGAAAUUCGUAGAUAUUCGCAAGAACACCAGUGGCGAAGGCGGCUCACUGGCCCGAUACUGACGCUGAGGUGCGAAAGCGUGGGGAGCAAACAGG